rnacentral:rRNA from 1 species
AGAGUUUGAUCCUGGCUCAGGAUGAACGCUAGCGACAGGCCUAACACAUGCAAGUCGAGGGGUAACAUGGUAGCUUGCUACCGAUGACGACCGGCGCACGGGUGCGUAACGCGUAUACAACUUGCCCUUUACUGGGGGAUAGCCCGAGGAAACUCGGAUUAAUACCCCAUAGUAUUUAGCUAACACCUGUUAGCUAUCUUAAAACUCCGGUGGUAAAGGAUGGGUAUGCGUGACAUUAGAUUGUUGGUGAGGUAACGGCUCACCAAGUCGACGAUGUCUAGGGGUUCUGAGAGGAAGGUCCCCCACACUGGUACUGAGACACGGACCAGACUCCUACGGGAGGCAGCAGUGAGGAAUAUUGGUCAAUGGACGCAAGUCUGAACCAGCCAUGUCGCGUGCAGGAUGACGGCCCUACGGGUUGUAAACUGCUUUUGUACGGGAAGAAACGUAUCUACGUGUAGAUAUUUGCCGGUACCGUACGAAUAAGGAUCGGCUAACUCCGUGCCAGCAGCCGCGGUAAUACGGAGGAUCCGAGCGUUAUCCGGAUUUAUUGGGUUUAAAGGGUGCGUAGGCGGAAUAAUAAGUCAGUGGUGAAAUCCUGCAGCUUAGCUGUAGAACUGCCAUUGAUACUGUUAUUCUUGAAUUUAGUUGAGGUAGGCGGAAUGUGUUGUGUAGCGGUGAAAUGCAUAGAUAUAACACAGAACACCGAUUGCGGAGGCAGCUUACUAAGCUAUAAUUGACGCUGAGGCACGAAAGCGUGGGUAGCAAACAGGAUUAGAUACCCUGGUAGUCCACGCUGUAAACGAUGAGAACUGGAUGUCGGGAGGGUCUGCCUCUCGGUGUCGUAGCUAACGCGUUAAGUUCUCCGCCUGGGGAGUACGGCCGCAAGGUUGAAACUCAAAGGAAUUGACGGGGACCCGCACAAGCGGUGGAGCAUGUGGUUUAAUUCGAUGCAACGCGAAGAACCUUACCUGCCCUUGACAUCCUCGGAACUUGUCAGAGAUGACUUGGUGCCUUCGGGAACCGAGUGACAGGUGCUGCAUGGCUGUCGUCAGCUCGUGUCGUGAGAUGUUGGGUCAAGUCCCGCAACGAGCGCAACCCUUGUCCUUAGUUGCCAGCGGUUCGGCCGGGAACUCUAAGGAGACUGCCAGCGACAAGCUGGAGGAAGGCGGGGACGACGUCAAGUCAUCAUGGCCCUUAUGGGCAGGGCUACACACGUGCUACAAUGGCCGGUACAGAGGGCUGCUAACCCGCGAGGGGGCGCUAAUCCCAGAAAACCGGUCGUAGUCCGGAUCGGAGUCUGCAACUCGACUCCGUGAAGUCGGAAUCGCUAGUAAUCGCGAAUCAGCAAUGUCGCGGUGAAUACGUUCCCGGGUCUUGUACACACCGCCCGUCACACCAUGGGAGUUGAUUGCACCAGAAGUAGGUAGCUUAACCUUCGGGAGAGCGCUUACCACGGUGUGGUUAAUGACUGGGGUGAAGUCGUAACAAGGUA